rnacentral:rRNA from 1 species
UACGAAGGGGGCUAGCGUUGCUCGGAAUUACUGGGCGUAAAGGGAGCGUAGGCGGAUAGUUUAGUCGGAGGUGAAAGCCCAGGGCUCAACCUUGGAAUUGCCUUUGAUACUGGCUAUCUUGAGUACGGAAGAGGUAUGUGGAACUCCGAGUGUAGAGGUGAAAUUCGUAGAUAUUCGGAAGAACACCAGUGGCGAAGGCGACAUACUGGUCCGUUACUGACGCUGAGGCUCGAAAGCGUGGGGAGCAAACAGG